GUUGAUCCUGCUGGAGAUUGCUGCUAUUGGGGUUCGACUAAGCCAUGCAAGUCAAGGGGCUCUUCGGAGCACCGGCAGACUGCUCAGUAACACGUCAAUAAUCUGCCCUUAGGUCUGGAUAGCUUCGGAAAACUGAAGGUAAACCCGGAUAGGAGUUUAUGAUUGGAAUAUCUUAACUCUUAAAAGCAAUGCCUAAGGAUGAGUUGGCGUCUGAUUAGGUUGUUGGUGAGGUAAAGGCUCACCAAGCCGAUGAUCAGUAAAGGCCUUGAGAGAGGUAGCCUUGAGAAGGACACUUAGACACUGGUCCUAGCCCUACGGGGUGCAGCAGGCGCGAAACCUUUACAAUGCACGAAAGUGUGAUAAGGGGACCCCAAGUGCUUAUACUAAGUAUAGGCUUUUGUUGAGAGUAAAUAUCUCGGCGAAUAAGUGGUGGGUAAGACGGGUGCCAGCCGCCGCGGUAACACCUGCGCCGCAAGUGGCAAUCACAUUUAUUGGGCCUAAAGCGUCCGUAGCCGGUUUAGUAAAUCUUCUGUGAAAUCGUUGUGCCUAACAUAACGGCGUGCAGAAGAGACUGCUAAACUUGGAACCGGGAGGAGUUAGAAGUAUUUUAGGGGGAGCGGUAAAAUGCUAUAAUCCCUGAAGGACUAUCUGUGGCGAAGGCGUCUAACUAGAACGGAUUCGACGGUGAGGGACGAAAGCUAGGGGAGCAAACCGGAUUAGAUACCCGAGUAGUCCUAGCUGUAAACGCUGUGAGCUAGGUGUCACGUAUUCUAUAUGGAUAUGUGGUGUCGUAGAGAAGUCGUUAAGCUCACCGCCUGGGAAGUACGGUCGCAAGACUGAAACUUAAAGGAAUUGGCGGGGGAGCGCUACAACGAGUGCGGCGUGCGGUUUAAUCUAAUUCCACACAGAAAAUCUCACCAGAAGCGACGGCAGGAUGAAAGUCAGCCUAAAGGGCUUACUUGACGAGCCGAGAGGUAGUGCAUGGCCGCCGUCAGCUCAUGCCGUGAGGUGUCCUCUUAAGUGAGGCAACGAGCAAGACCUGUAUCCACAAUUGCUAACAAGUUCUUUAGAAUGAUUGAGCACAUUGUGGAGACUGCUGUGGAAACACAGAGGAAGGUGCAGGCAACGGCAGGUCUGUAUGCUCCGAAUCUUCUGGGCUACACGCGCGCAACAAUGGUACAGACAAUGGGAUACAACUCCGAAAGGAGAAGUUAAACCUCGAAACCGUACCUCAGUUCAGAUUGAGGAUUGUAACUCAUCCUCAUGACGAUGGAAUUCGUAGUAAUUGGAAGUCAUCAGCUUCCAGUGGAUAUGUCCCCGCUCCUUGCACACACCGCCCGUCAUCUCACCCGAGUAGGGUUUAGAUGAGGAUCAAUCUCAGAUUGGUUCGAAUCUGAGCUUUGCGAGGAGGGGCAAGUCGUCACAAGGUA
rnacentral:rRNA from 1 species